rnacentral:lncRNA from 1 species
GUCUGUUGUGACGUUUUUGAUUUUAACGAACGCAACCUAUGUAUUACUGGUAAAUUAUUAAACCAGGGAUAUCGUUACCAUAAAUUACUUAAAACCUUUACUAAAUUUUUUCCAUAGAUAUAAAGAUUUGGUUUUGAAGUUUGGAUGUACCUGUAGAAAACUUAUUUCAAACGGGAUAGCACAUCCUCAUUUUUACGGAAAUGUUGUUAACCGUGCCCGGAA